rnacentral:tRNA from 1 species
GAGGGCAUAGCUCAAGUGGUAGAGUGCAUGCUUAGCAUGCAUGAGGUCCUGGGUUCAAUCCCCAGUACCUCCU